CAGGAAUGCUACAUUUAUGCUUGAAACACCAAAAAGACUUAGAAAUGCUAAAGAUGAGAGUACACUUUAUUGUAAGCAUGACAGCAGUGAGUUAAAAAACUUCUUCAUCUUUAGCCCUCUGUAGAGGCAUGCUGCUCUAGCUAUAGGAAAGGCUGUGCAGGGGUAGGGAGCCGUGAUGUUCCAGCUGUGCUCCUGUAACUCGGAUAUUUGCAGCUGAGAUAGCUAGUCCUCUCAGCUAUUCUGUGCUGUAGGAAAACCAGUCAUGAUUGUUGUCCAGGCACCAUGACUGACUGCUAUGGACUGAUCACAUAACAUCUUUUUUUUAGCAUCAUUCUUCACAUGAAUUACUAACUUCAGCCAUGAAGCCAUGCAGUAGAUUGCAGAACUCUGUUAUCUCACAUAAUAAAUUAGGUUUAGUAAACCAAGCCUUAAAAUAACUGUCUCGUUUGAAACUCAGUUGCAGGUUUUCAGGUCAUAUUUUUUUACAAAUUAACCUGAAAACACUUCUGGCAUGAGUAAUGUCGAGAAUGAUGUACAUUUCCCUUGCUAUGGGCUAAAUCUUCCAUCCUGCCAACUGUGCAUGUGAGGGAUGUGUAUGCAGAUGGAAAGGAGAAAUGCCUUGCACCCACAGCUCCCAGCCUGGUAUCUGUGUGCCCUGCAAAGGCUUGGUGCCUGGAGAGGGGGCACAUGCUCUCAUGGAGCAUCCCAGGGUUUUUGUCUCUUCAUCUCCCCUCUGCUAGGUGCAGGGUAUAGAUACAGAUGCUUCCAUCAUCCUCAACAUCUUUGAAGUGAUGCAAAUCUGGAGUGUAACUAAGCUGUCUUUUUUUCUUCCAGCUGAUGGUUUUGCUCUGAAUGCAUCAGUCUGGAGAAAUCUGCGGAGGAGAAUGAAAGCGGGGUCUUGUGCACAUCGGAAUCUGCUGUCUCCAAGAGGCCUUUGGGUCCACAGAGCCAAAACAGCACAUUCACAAAGACAAAAUGCCACAUUGUCUGAAGCUUUGUCUGCCCCACAGGCACUCUGCAAAAAUAUCUCCUUACAGCCACAAGGGCUUCAUCCUCAGUAUGUUUGA
rnacentral:lncRNA from 1 species